rnacentral:piRNA from 1 species
UGGAAAGGCAUAACUGGAAUGAGACGC